AGAGUUUGAUCCUGGCUCAGGAUGAACGCUGGCGGCGUGCCUAAUACAUGCAAGUCGAGCGAACGGACGAGAAGCUUGCUUCUCUGAUGUUAGCGGCGGACGGGUGAGUAACACGUGGAUAACCUACCUAUAAGACUGGGAUAACUUCGGGAAACCGGAGCUAAUACCGGAUAAUAUUUUGAACCGCAUGGUUCAAAAGUGAAAGACGGUCUUGCUGUCACUUAUAGAUGGAUCCGCGCUGCAUUAGCUAGUUGGUAAGGUAACGGCUUACCAAGGCAACGAUGCAUAGCCGACCUGAGAGGGUGAUCGGCCACACUGGAACUGAGACACGGUCCAGACUCCUACGGGAGGCAGCAGUAGGGAAUCUUCCGCAAUGGGCGAAAGCCUGACGGAGCAACGCCGCGUGAGUGAUGAAGGUCUUCGGAUCGUAAAACUCUGUUAUUAGGGAAGAACAUAUGUGUAAGUAACUGUGCACAUCUUGACGGUACCUAAUCAGAAAGCCACGGCUAACUACGUGCCAGCAGCCGCGGUAAUACGUAGGUGGCAAGCGUUAUCCGGAAUUAUUGGGCGUAAAGCGCGCGUAGGCGGUUUUUUAAGUCUGAUGUGAAAGCCCACGGCUCAAACGUGGAGGGUCAUUGGAAACUGGAAAACUUGAGUGCAGAAGAGGAAAGUGGAAUUCCAUGUGUAGCGGUGAAAUGCGCAGAGAUAUGGAGGAACACCCGUGGCGAAGGCGACUUUCUGGUCUGUAACUGACGCUGAUGUGCGAAAGCGUGGGGAUCAAACAGGAUUAGAUACCCUGGUAGUCCACGCCGUAAACGAUGAGUGCUAAGUGUUAGGGGGUUUCCGCCCCUUAGUGCUGCAGCUAACGCAUUAAGCACUCCGCCUGGGGAGUACGACCGCAAGGUUGAAACUCAAAGGAAUUGACGGGGACCCGCACAAGCGGUGGAGCAUGUGGUUUAAUUCGAAGCAACGCGAAGAACCUUACCAAAUCUUGACAUCCUUUGACAACUCUAGAGAUAGAGCCUUCCCCUUCGGGGGACAAAGUGACAGGUGGUGCAUGGUUGUCGUCAGCUCGUGUCGUGAGAUGUUGGGUUAAGUCCCGCAACGAGCGCAACCCUUAAGCUUAGUUGCCAUCAUUAAGUUGGGCACUCUAAGUUGACUGCCGGUGACAAACCGGAGGAAGGUGGGGAUGACGUCAAAUCAUCAUGCCCCUUAUGAUUUGGGCUACACACGUGCUACAAUGGACAAUACAAAGGGCAGCGAAACCGCGAGGUCAAGCAAAUCCCAUAAAGUUGUUCUCAGUUCGGAUUGUAGUCUGCAACUCGACUACAUGAAGCUGGAAUCGCUAGUAAUCGUAGAUCAGCAUGCUACGGUGAAUACGUUCCCGGGUCUUGUACACACCGCCCGUCACACCACGAGAGUUUGUAACACCCGAAGCCGGUGGAGUAACCUUUUAGGAGCUAGCCGUCGAAGGUGGGACAAAUGAUUGGGGUGAAGUCGUAACAAGGUAGCCGUAUCGGAAGGUGCGGCUG
rnacentral:rRNA from 1 species